GGUGAACGCUGGCGGCGUGCCUAAUACAUGCAAGUCGAGCGAACGGACGAGAAGCUUGCUUCUCUGAUGUUAGCGGCGGACGGGUGAGUAACACGUGGAUAACCUACCUAUAAGACUGGGAUAACUUCGGGAAACCGGAGCUAAUACCGGAUAAUAUUUUGAACCGCAUGGUUCAAAAGUGAAAGACGGUCUUGCUGUCACUUAUAGAUGGAUCCGCGCUGCAUUAGCUAGUUGGUAAGGUAACGGCUUACCAAGGCAACGAUGCAUAGCCGACCUGAGAGGGUGAUCGGCCACACUGGAACUGAGACACGGUCCAGACUCCUACGGGAGGCAACAGUAGGGAAUCUUCCGCAAUGGGCGAAAGCCUGACGGAGCAACGCCGCGUGAGUGAUGAAGGUCUUCGGAUCGUAAAACUCUGUUAUUAGGGAAGAACAUAUGUGUAAGUAACUGUGCACAUCUUGACGGUACCUAAUCAGAAAGCCACGGCUAACUACGUG
rnacentral:rRNA from 1 species